rnacentral:lncRNA from 1 species
ACCGGAAACGGAGGAGAGCGCGGGGGAUGUGUUUGGCAUGGGGACGCACUGUUACAGUUGCGCUCCUGGUUGGCUUUGUGUUUCCGCGGUGUUGGUAGAGUCUCGGUGUUUCUACCUCUUAGCACCCUUUCCUGCCACCCUUUGUCCUGUGGAAGCCCGGAGACAUCAGCGGCUGCAAUUUUGCUACUCGCUGCUCGGCAUGGAACGGUCAGGUACCGCAGUUCAGCGCUCUUGGCCCCGCAGGACAAAAAAUAAUAUCCAAAGAUAUUUUGGCACUAACAGCGCUAUCUGUAGCAAGAAAGUUGAGCAGUGUGAACUGUUGAGACUUCCAAGAAGACUUCAGAGAACCAAGACAGUGUAAAGGAAAACAGGAAAAAAGACUUGUUAGACAUUAUUAAGGGCACGAAAGUUGAAUUGAGCACAGUAAAUGUACAAACAACAAAGCCACCCAACAGAAGUCCACUUAAAAGCUACAACUGGCCCGCCUCAAAGAGCUACAGAGCAUGCUCCAAAGAAGAGAAAUGAGCCCGUGAGUCCUGAGUUGGUGGCAGCUGCAUCUGCUGCUCUGUUUUGACAAGCAAACAAGCCAGAACUGCUCAGGCAGCUCCGUAGCAUGAGGAAGAGUCAGGGGCACAGAGAGAUGGAGAGAGACCUAGUUAGUAACAAAAUAUGAGAUACGAAAAUUGCCAAAUGUGCUACAGCUAGAGUUAAUAUAAGACCAGAGCAUCAGAUUCAGUUUGACAAAGGCUAUGACAAUUAUCCUGGCUAGGAGAAGACCGCUGAUCUUAGAAACAGAGAAAAACAUAUUCAAGGGGAAGAGAUGUAAUAGUUUUGACGUGACGACAGUUACUAAAGAAGCACCUGAACAGACACAUCACCUUCACUUUGGGAUGUGGAAUUUGCUAAAUAAGCCACAGAAAAUGAACAUCCCUUCAGAAUGGGUUUGAAGAGCUGAUCCAGUGGAUUAAAGAGGGGAAACUGGGAGUUUCCAAUUAACAAUGAAGCAGGAGCUGACUAAGGCUUUGGAACAGAAACCAGAUGAUGCACAAUAUUAUUGUCAAAGAGCUUAUUGUCACAUUCUUCUUGGGAGUUACUAUGGAUCUGUAAAUAACUGACGAAAAACCCAUCUGUUUCUACGUAGUUGCUGUUGCCGACACAAAGAAGUCUUAUGAACUCAAUCCAAAUAAUUCCACUGCUAUGCUGAGAAAAGGGGGCUGGCGGCAUGGAGUCUUGCUCUGUCACCCAUCCUCGAGUGCAAUGGCACCAUCUUAGUUCACUGCAGCCUUGAAUUCCAGGGCUCGAGCCAUCCUUCUGCCUCUGCCUCCUGAGUAGGUGGGACUACAGGCAUGUGCCACCAUACUGAGCUAAUUUGUUAAACACUUUUUUUGUAGAGACGAGGUCUUGCUACGUUUCCCAGACUGGUCUCUGAACUCCCGGCCUCAAGUGAUCCUACUGCCUUGGCCUCCCAAAGUACUGGCAUAAUAGACAUGAGCCACUGCACCUGGCUCCUAAGUUCUUUUCUUGAAUAAUAUCUUUCUUUUUUUUUAUUUUUUGAGGUGGAGUCUCACCCUGUUGCCCAGGCUGGAGUGCAAUGGCGUGAUCUCGGCUCACUGCAACUUCUACCUCCCGGGUUCAAGUGAUUCUCCUGCCUCAGCCUCCUGAAUAGCUAGGAUUACAGGCGUGCGCUACCACGCCUGGCUAAUUUUUUGUGUCUUUAGUAGAGAUGCGGUUUCACCAUGUUGGCCAGGCUUGUCUCGAACUCUUGACCUCGUGAUCCACCCGCCUUGGCCUCCCAAAGUGUUGGGAUUACAGGCGUGAGCCACCACGCCUGGCCAAGUAAUAUCUUAAUAUCAUGCCAUUGACAUUUAUCCUCUAAUUAUUUCAGAGGUGGCCUUCAGAAGAAGGCCUCUUUGGUAAAAUUGCUAUUGAGGAUAUUUCACUGAAAAACAAAUUUAUCUUUAAAUUUAAAUCCAGGAAAAAUUUAAACUUUCAGGCUUCUAUUUUUAUCAGACAGGGUAAAAAAUUUAUAACUCAGAAUAUUACCCUUUCCCCUCUUUGUGUGAUGGAUUGCUUGGUUUUAGUUACUGAUUAUUUAAAAUAAUAAGUUAUUCAAAUCUAGGAUUUUGAUACAAUAGUUCUUCUCUAGAAUAUAGUGUGUGUGUGAGAGUAUAUUUAAAAUUUUUAUUAAGGCCCAUGGGGCAGCCUUUGAGGAAACCAGACCUUGGGGAUCGCCAGGCAGGAUUAGUGGCAGGAAUUGAGAGAACAGAGCCCCACAGAGCUCCUCGGGGACCGUCCCCCAGUCACAAGAGUAUCUCAAGGAAGUAGUCUUCUCCCACAUCCCCCAAAGAUAACUACCAGAGGGUCAGUUCUCUGAGCCCUUCUCAGUGUAGAAAAGACAAGUGUCAAAGCUUCCCCACUCACCCUGAGUUUGCCUUCUAUGACAAUACGUCGUUUGGCCUCACUGAGGCUGAGCAGAGGAUGCUGGACCUCCCAGGAUAUUUUGGGUCAAAUGAAGAGGAUGAAACCACAAGUACACUUAGCGUGGAGAAGCUGGUGAUCUAGACUGAGAAUCAGCCUGAGCUUAACACAGCUGGGGUCUGCUACUCGCGUUUUGUAGACUUUUGUGUAACUAUUUGUACCGUAGGACAGAAUGUGAGGAGGAAGUAACACACACAGAGGAGGAUGUGUGUGUGUGCAUGUGUUUGAAUUCACAAGGAAGAAAUUAUUUAUCUUGAGCUUUUUCCUUUGUUAUUCAGUUUUUAUUGGUUUAUUACUAAUAAUGAUAAUAAAAUGUAAACAAGAGCAAA